UGAUUGGCCCGAUUGUUCAGCCAACCGCACCUACCCCCCCGCCUAACCAUCUUGACCUCACCUGCCUCAGGUACGUCAGGUGAAUGACUAAACUGACUUCGAAUGACUAGCAAAGAUCGGUAUUUCCUUUUUCUGAUACACAUCACUCCGGUCGACACAAAAAAGCUGAAGUAACUCAGCGGGCCAGGCAGCAUCUCUGGAUAGAAGCCAGCUGGUGACGUUUCAGGUCGAGACCCUUCCUGCAGGUUAAAUAUCUUACUGGAACAGCAUCAAAUACAAUUUGACACCGUGCCACGAAGGAAGAUAGGCCAAAUGUCUCAAGCUCGACCAAAGGAGGAAAGUAUUGUAGAAUUAAUAACUAGCCUCCUGCUCUUUUACCAGUUAACAUUUAUGUGGCAUCAUACGUGGCAUUAGGAACAUUUAUACCUGUGAGGAUAAUUUCUCUUUCUUACCUGUGUUAAAUCUCCUCAUGAUUUUGAACAGUUCUUUUGUAUCGCCUCUUAACCUUUUCUGCUUUUUGUCUUGAAUAAUUUUGUAAAUAUUUCAAAAAUAUCAUUCCAAAAUCUAUAAAGUAUUAUGCAGGAAACUAAGGAGUGUGUUAUAGUUGCCUUUUGGGCUAGACAUUUAUCACAAGUGGCGGAUAUAUUUGGAUAACAUUUGUUCAAUCUUGUUUUUGAAUAAUAUAAUCUAUGUACAAUUUUAAAUUGAAUUAGAUUAUGUCUUACAUUAAAUGAACAUUUGUGAAUAUAUAUCAGGUAUUUUUCCCAUUUAACCUUCGUAAUUUUUAUCAUUAGUUCCCGUUCCCACUCUUCUCUAAGUACCUCUGUCGAUGGUAGGUCUAUAUUUAGAAUACUAUUAUAUAAAUAUGAUAUUAAUUUUUGUGAGUCAGCUUCAAUAUUCAUUGCUUCUUCCAAUGUCAGGAGUUACUUUUUGAUAUCCUUGUAUAUAUUUUUUCACGAAAUCGCAAAUCUGAAGAUAUUUAAAAUAUUGGUUGUUUUUCAAUUUAAAUUUUAAUUGUAACUGUUGGAAUGAUAGUAGGUUUCCCAUUUCGUACAUAUCCCCGAUCUUUCUAAUUCCGAGACUUUCCCAUUGGUUAUAUGUCUUAUCAAUAAGAGAUGGUUUAAAUAAAGGGUUAUUCGCAAUUGGCAUUAACAGUGAACCUAAUACUAAAAUGAUUAUAUUUGGUGUAACUAUGGUUUUUCCGGUGGGCGCGCGCGGGCGCGACUCUCGUCAGCAGCGGCCUCUGCAGUCU